rnacentral:rRNA from 1 species
GUGCCAGCCGCCGCGGUAAAACGUAGGACGCGAGCGUUAUCCGGAGUUACUGGGCGUAAAGGGCGUGCAGGCGGGGGCGGAAGUCACUCGUGAAAGUCUUCGGCUCAACCGGGGGAAGACGGGUGAGACUCCGCAUCUAGAGGGCGCUAGAGGGACACGGAAUUCCGGGUGUAGUGGUGAAAUGCGUAGAGAUCCGGAGGAACACCAGUGGCGCAGGCGGUGUUCUGGGGCGCACCUGACGCUGAGACGCGAAAGCAUGGGGAGCGAACGGGAUUAGAAACCCCCGUAGUCC